CAGAAAACGAGUACCAGGGGGAACACAGACCAUUUAAUGGCCUGAAAGAAAGUAUUCCCAGAUUAUUCCGGAUGAGUAAGCUGUGCUGAGCAGAGAACGUUUCUGGGUCAAGGAUGGGGACCCAGCGUAUUUCCCAACAGCUGGAGGAGCAGGCUGAGACAAAGGUCUACACUGAAGCUGUUAUGUAAGGAGAAAUAUCUGAGAGUAGAAGUCCUGUGAAGCUGUAACUUGUGUCUGGUCUGCUGCACUUCAAAAGCAUGGGCAGGAAGAAAAGGGAACGUCUUGGGAGUGCAAAUAUAUCUGCUCAGCAUUCCUGGGAGGUUUGUGCAGGAGUUUAAGCUGAUACAGAAGACUAUUAAAAUGAAAUGCAGUAUAAUGGCAGUAUGAAAAGACUGGAAAUUUUGCAAGUGAUGGAGCAGAAACGCCAUUCAUCAUCCCAGAGUGGAGAUUGUAGGCCGCGUUGGAUGUUCAGCAGCAAGCCCUCUCGUGCACUCUGUAGGGCCAUGGAAGGUAAUGACUGACCCUGCUUCCAUUAAUGCCUUUUCAGAUAAUGUUAUAACACUUCACAAUGUCCAGUAAGGUGUCUCUUCUAGGAGAAGAGUCAGUCUGCUAGGAAUUCUUCCUAGACCAAAGUGUUCCAAAAGCAAUCCUAUUUUUGUCCAUCCACAUUAUUCUACAGACAUUGCUUCUGUAAUAUUUGUUAAGCACAUUUGAAAACUUUAAAUAUUAGCUUUGACAAUAAUUUCACACUGUGUGUG